UACGUAGGGGGCAAGCGUUGUCCGGAAUUAUUGGGCGUAAAGAGCGUGUAGGCGGCCAGAUAAGUCCGCUGUGAAAUCUCGAGGCUCAACUUCGAGCUGUCGGUGGAAACUAUCUGGCUAGAGUCCGGAAGAGGAGAAUGGAAUUCCUGGUGUAGCGGUGAAAUGCGCAGAUAUCAGGAAGAACACCAACGGCGAAGGCAGCUCGCUGGGACGGUACUGACGCUGAGACGCGAAAGCGUGGGGGAGCGAACAGG
rnacentral:rRNA from 1 species